rnacentral:rRNA from 1 species
AAGGCGUAACGAUUUGGGCACUGUCUCAACAACAGACUCGGUGAAAUUGUAAUUCCGGUGAAGAUGCCGGAUACCUGCGACAGGACGGAAAGACCCCAUGGAGCUUUACUGUAGCUUGACAUUGGGGCUUGGUACUACAUGUACAGGAUAGGUGGGAGGCUUUGAAACCAGGACGCCAGUUUUGGCGGAGCCAUCCUUGGGAUACCACCCUUGUAGUACUGGGACUCUAACCAUAGGCCAUGAAUCUGGUCUUG